UAUCGUUGCUUGUUUCCCCUCAGUCUUUGUCUGGUCAUUGUCGCAUGUAUGCACAGUCGUUUGCUGUAUGUUCUACAAGUUGCUGUAUUACCUGUUCUGGUUUUUGGAUGUUCCAGUUUCCUGUACCUGUGAGUUUUGUUCAUGCCUCUUCGUCUUGCUUUGGAUUAAUAAGCCCUGGAACUCAGUCUCAGUGCUCUGUGUCAUGCAUUUGGGCUCUCACCUGCUUUGCGCACCCAGCAAACCUGACACAUCAAUUAUAAAUCCAGAGCUGAGAGACACAGGGAAGGAAGAAAUGGAUGAGGGAACAAGGACUGGGGAAUGAGGUUAAGAGUACUGCAAAAUGAAAAUUCUGCAUUUCCAUUUAAGGAGAGGGAGUAAAGAGGAGAGGCUAAUUUAGAAUACAUAAAGAAGGAGGGGAUGAACUACUGAGGAAUACAAUAACCAGUCCUGGUCUGGCCUCCUCCUGUCACACUGAGCGUGAAACUGAUCAGUGACAGAUACUCCGUCAUCCAACAGAAAUAGAAUUUUAAUCUGAA